rnacentral:rRNA from 1 species
AUUGAACGCUUGCGGCAGGCUUAACACAUGCAAGUCGAACGAGCGGCGGACGGGUGAGUAAUGUCUGGGAAACUGCCUGAUGGAGGGGGAUAACUACUGGAAACGGUAGCUAAUACCGCAUACCAUCAGAUGUGCCCAGAUGGGAUUAGCUAUGAGUUGGGGUAAUGGAUCACCUAGGAGACGAUCCCUAGCUGGUCUGAGAGGAUGACCAGCCACACUGGAACUGAGACACGGUCCAGACUCGUACGGGCGGCAGCAGUGGGGUAUAUUGCACAUUGGGCGCAAGCCUGAUGCAGCCAUGCCGCGUGUGUGAAGAAGGCCGUCGGGUUGUAAAGUACGUUCAGCGAGGAGGCGUUACUCGCAGAAGAAGCACCGGCUAACUCCGUGCCAGCAGCGGCGGUAAGUC